UACAGAGGGUGCAAGCGUUAAUCGGAUUUACUGGGCGUAAAGGGCGCGUAGGUGGUUGUUUAAGUGAGAUGUGAAAUCCCCGGGCUUAACCUCGGGAACUGGCAUCUUAUAUGGGCAGCUGGAGUGGCAAUAGAGGGUAGUGGAAUCUCCGGGUGUAGCGGUGAAAUGCGUAGAUAUCGGAAGGAACACCAGUGGCGAAGGCGGCUGACCUGGAUUGACACUGACCACUGAGGCGCGAGAGCGUGGGGAGCAAACAGG
rnacentral:rRNA from 1 species